CAAGUGGAAGUGGUGUGAAUGCAAGUGACAGACCACGUCAAAAUAAUAACAACCAUGAAGAACCACUCGAUGAAGAUGAUGAUUAUUAUGAUGGACCAGCCAGGGAAGUAGGAUUCUAUGACGUUACAGAUCCGGAAUAUGCAUACUCUGAAGGAUCAAGUCACGAACGUGAAUACCCUGACGAAUCACACAACCAAAGGCAAUACUUUGACGGAUUACGCCAAGAAGACGAAUAUUUGGAUGGAACACGACCAGAUUAUGAUUAUUAUGACGGACCAUUACAGGAAGAUCAAUUUUUUGAUGGAAACCGUCAAGAAGACGAACCUGUGGACGAACAAAGUCAAGAAGAUGAUACUUCUUCGAGAUUAACACAAGCAGAUUCAUUCGAAAAUAAUCCUUAUUCAAUUUUCACAAGCGUAUUUAACUCGUUGGCAAAUCAUAUAAACAACACUUUCAGUCCUACUAACCAAGAGAACAGCACAAGAACAGAUGCACAACAAAAUGGAACAACUUCAAAUAUUGUGGCAAAUGCUACUAAUAUUAAUAACGUUACACAAUCACUUAUAUAUAUAAACAAUCAAAUCGGUAUAGGUGAGUUAAGUAAUCAGGUGGGUUACUCUCGUGUAGAAACUUAUGAUAAUAGCGGUAAUAGUAAUAACAGUAACGGUCGUAAUCACAUUAGUACUGGUAGUGGUGGUGGUACUAGUAGUGGUGGUGGUACUAGUAAUGGUGUUGGUACUAGUAAUGGUGUUGGUACUAGUAAUGGUGUUGGUACUAGUAGUGGUAGCGGUACUAGUAGUGGUAGCGGUACUAGUAAUGGUGUUGGUACUAGUAGUGGUAGCGGUAAUAGUAAUGGUAGCGGUAGUGGUAACACGAAUGAUGCCAUAAGGGGUUCUAAUACAAACAAUGCGAACAACACAUUCACAACAGGAAACAACGUUAUAGUAAAUCCAACACUGUUUGCCGAAAUAUUGAUAAAUAGAAAUCCAAACAAUACAUUAAAUAUGGAGAUAAUAAAUGUAACUAAUGCUGAUAUACGUAAUCAGCUUUUAAAUAUGAAUUUUAGACAGAUAACCCCUAACGCUUUUUCUAAUUUGAUUACAAAUUUUCUUAAUGAACAUGGGACGGGCACUGGCACUGGCACUGGUACUGGUACUGGCACUGGCACGGGUACUGCUACUAGUACGGGUACUAGUACUGGUACUGCUCAGACCAACGUUCCUAUCGCCACUGACCCCAAUGCUGCUACUAAUAGUACUGUUAGAACGGCACUACAAACAAACAUUAAUGCCAUACGUCGUAACGUUAAUAUGAAUCAUAUGUAUUUAAAUGAUAAUCUUCAGGAGUUGUUAUACAUUUCGCAUGACGAAUAUUCAUUAGAUGAAGACUUUAAUAUAUUUCCACCAACAAAUGGUAAUAUCGCUUCUAUCACAUCAGGUGUUAGUACACAUACACACGCUACUCCUAACAACACUAGUUUUAUUAACAUGAACAAUUUUAGUCAUGACCAGAACUCUACUACAGAUUUAACGAUAACACAAGAACAUGGUCAAAUAGAUACUACUAUCAAUUUAACUCAACAAACACCAGUUUUUGUUCCAAUUCCAUGUUUAAAUAACAUAUUUUUAAAUUUUAAAAAUAACAAGAACGAUGCUAAUAUAGGUGGUGCAAUUGAUUUUUUUUUAAAAGUAAUAAAACUGUUAAGCCUUAUAAUGGAUUUGAAUCAUCCUUUUAAAGAAAUAAAUAGUUUCUUUUUUUCAAAUGCAAAAACGUUAGAUUCUACUACUUCUGAUGUUGCAGGUGAACAAAACGAUGGUUCUAACAACAUGAGUGAUGAUACUGAUAGUUCAAGUAGCAGCUCUGACGAAGAUACAAAGGACGAUGAAUAUGUUUAUAAUGGACCCUUGUGGGAAUAUAACAAUGGGCAUAUAUUAAACGAUAACGAAGUGGUAUUAAAUUCAUUUGAUUUAAAAACAGAAAAAAACGAUAUUUUAAAAAGUACCAACACUACUUCUGAUGAUGCUGUUUUAUUAUGUGAAACAACAAAUGUGACCAGCGAGAAAAACAUAACCGAAGAAAGCGAUUCAAAUAGUUUAUUAUUUGAAAACAUUAGUGUGAUUAGAAAAAUAAGACAUAAAAGGAAGAGGGGAAAAAAUAAAAACGGAAAUGGUAAUGAAGUGUCAAAUUUAGUAAAGAGUGACUGUAGUACUGCUGCUGAUAAUAAUAAUGAUAAUAAUGGUAAUGAUAAUAAUGGUAAUGAUAAUAAUAAUAACACAAAGAAGAAGAAGACGAAGAAGAAUAAUAACAAAAAAAAAAAAAAAAAUGGCCAUAUAAAUAUGCUAAAUAAAAUAACAGCACACACGAUUAUUAGUUGUAUUAAUAACAUUAACAUGUUAGAAGAUAAAUGCUUUACCAAAGUAAGGACUGUUAUUUUAAACAGAUUGAAAGAUAUUUUUUCAAGUAGCUAUGAUUGUAAUAAUGUAAGUAAUUAUAAUACAUUUAUUGAGUUAGCAAAAAAAAAACAAGAAAAUCUGUUAAAAAGUAUGAAAGAACAACAACUUAAAUUUAGCAAAUUUUUGGAAGCACAAUUGUUAUCAGAUAUUGAAGAAGAGUCAUCGGAUACGAGGGACAACAUUGAUGAAAUUGGUAACGAAAUUGGUAACGAAAUUGGUAACGAAAGUGGUAACGAAAGUGGUAGUAAUAAUAGUGGUAGUAAUAACAGUGGUAGUAAUAACAGUGGUAGUAAUAACAAGAGCGAAGACAACAAAAUUAAUAAUGACAAAUAUAACAAUGAUAAAGAUAUUAGUAACUACAUCUGCAACACUACUGACGACGACAAAAAAAUGAAACACAAAAAAAAAAGCAAAAAAAAAAGCAAAAAAAAAAAUACACAGAAGAAUGAUACAAUUUGUGAAUAUGAAAAAGUAAAAGAAAAAAAUCGUAUAUGUGUAUUAUGUAAAGAAGGUAUGUCCAAAAAUAAUCAUUUAGCUUACAUGUGCUAUAUUUCACAUAAUAACAUUUUAAAAAAAAUAAUAAAAAAAAAUAAAAUGGCUUAUCCAUUGAAACUUCCACGUGUUUAUACAUGUGGACAUUUUAUUCAUAAAAAAUGUUUAAAAGAUUCUAAAGCGUUAAAAUAUAAAAAUGAUUCAAAAAAAGGUAAUAUACUAUAUGAAUUUAUGUGCCCAUUAUGUCGUUCUUUAGCUAACACAUUCAUAAUAUACUUACCUAAAAAUUAUAUUUCUCCAAACAGUUUGCAUCGAGUAUAUACAUGUAAUGAUAUUGAAUUAUGUUUAGAUAACUCGAAUAAAAACUUGGUUGAUAUGCUAUCGAUUUUUAAUAAAAAAAAAAAAUAUAUAAGUGAGAAAAAACGGGAUGAAUUCCUUAGUGAUGAUGGAAAUGUCGCUGUUUUGGUAGAAGAUAGUCCUGACGUACAAAAUGCGUUUAGUGGUAACAAAGCACGUGACAACAGUAAUCAUUUAAUAACAGAAUUCAGAACAUUAGAACAAAGGUUUGACAGAAAAAAACAGAUAGGUCAAGCAGAACAAAUAGGACAAACAACCAACGCGUGUAUAUAUAAUAAAACACUUUUGAUAGAAAAUACUAAUAGUUGCUUAUUUCCAAGUGAUUAUGACUACUACUAUAAUCAUCAUUAUAAAGGAAAGAGACACGAAAGUAAUAACUUAGAAUAUACCGAGGCUAUAAAUAAUGAUGAGUCAACUGGAAUAUCAUCAGCAAAUGAAUGUUCUUACAUGUCAUUUUCAUCAAACUCGUCAUUUGAUAGUGAUAUAGCUAAAGAAUUCCAUAUGAAAUACAAUGAUAGUAAAACAAAAGAAAAGAGAAAAAAAAACUUAAUUGGUGAAGUAAGUAUAAAUAAUACAGGUACUCCUGAUAAAAGCUUUGCACAUGAAAAGGAAGGUGAACAUGGUAUUAGUAGUAAUGAUAGUAACAAUGAUAAUAAUAAUGUUAACAAUGUGUAUAACCUUUUUAAUGAAAAAAAAAAAAAUGACAUUUUUAACUUAAAUUUCGACGACUUAAUUAGUAAACAAGAACUUAACGAUUUUAUGUCUUAUGACAAUUUUGAAAACAGAAAAAAAAACAUUUUGCAUGAAGUAUAUUUAAAUGAAAACGGCGUUUACGACAGGUUGUUUAAUAGGCGAGAGGGGUAUCACAUUCAACAACAGAAGAAAGAACAACAGAAAGAACAACAAAAAGAACAACAAAAAGAACAACAGAAAGAACAACAAAAAGAACAACAAAAA
ensembl:lncRNA